UAAAACUCAAAGAUCAGCAGCAAGUUCUCACAUCAAAGUGUGUGCACAUUUACUUGACAAAAAACUAAAAAUUGUAUUUGUUUUUAAAACAACUAUCAGAUAUAAUUCAGUGCAAUGAAUAUGGUCAAAAGAAUUUAAUUAAAAAAAACUCAAACAGUCAAGUUUGCCCUUUUUACACUUAAUAAAUGUUGGUUUAGUACCCUGUCGCCUGUCUAAUAAAAGUAUGAGUGGAAAUAUUUGAAAUGUAAGGGGAAAAACAUUUAAAUUAUCAUUUUAAUCCCAUGUCCUCUUUUGGCACAUCUGGGAUUAUCUGCAUCUGAUUGAUCAGCAUCUGAUUUAAAAGACGCAAUAGUAUUUUGCUCCUUUUUCUUCUUGCACAAAAAAAAAAUCCAAAGUAACUUGGAUUUCCUUUGGAAAAAUUAUCUUACUUCUUGUGUGGUCGAAGUGUAAAAAUCAAAGUUUUUGAUUAAUUUUCAGCUCUCAAAAUAAAAUAGAGGUCUGCUUUAGAUAGUUAUGGAAGAAGUUUUUCAAUUAUUUUAAACAAUUCUUAUUUGAUUUGAUUUGAUUUUACUCUAAAGGAACUUUGCACAAGUUUUUACCUGACCAUUGUGGCAUCAUUUAGAACGUCCUAUUCCACAACAGGGCUGCAAGGUGAAUCAGAUCAACAAGCUCCAGAGGUAGUGCAAAGUGCCAGCCCUAAAACAGAUGCCCAACUUGCAGAACAGAAGCCUCAAUUUGCAAACAUGGCCCAGGCUGGAGGAGGAGGCCGCUGACAGUUAUGGUAGGGGCCCCAGAAGGGGCAAAAAACGGUUCCUAAAAGGUGGAAGGCAGGAAUUCCGUAAUUCCACUCUGCCAGACUGUGCUGUCUGCCUGCUAAGCAUUCUCUGCUGGCCAACUUUGAAAUCCAGCUGUAACUAUGUUGGUGGAAAAACAAAACAAGGGAAACUAGGAUGGGGGAGAGGGCUUGGGUGUAGAAACCGAGGUGAAAAAGAGGUGGAGAAGGAUAGAGGAGUGUGUGGUGUCUGGUAGAGUGUAAGCGGCUGAAUGGGCGGGCUCCUCCGGGGCCUCACCCCCCACUGCAAAGGACCUCCACAGAUUAUCCUUCAUCUGAGCUUGUCCGUCUUGACCUCAACAACCCUGAAGCCCGCUCUCGGCCUGCCCCCCUGUUUUUCCCUCUCCUUUUCAUACGCAUCACCCCCCCCCCCCCCCUCCACCGCCUCACCUCCUCCCUGUUUCCCCUCUUACCUCUCUGUUCCCCUGUAACAUCCAGCUGUACCCCGUUGACACAGCCACACACAUUCACCCAGAACACGCACAAUCCUCGUGCAAAAAAAAAAAAAAAAAUUGGGGGGGACCCAAAAGGAGAAAAUCUAGGCUGAUGUGCAGCACACACGAGGUGGGGGGAAGAAAAAGAAGAAAAAACAGGGAGAAAGAAAGAGGGCAAGCCUUUCAGAAAAACCAGUAUUAGAUACAAAGGGGAGAAGGAGCUGUGCUGGGGGGGGAUGCAAACACAAUAUAUGCUGCAGGUGUUUUGCCCAACGAGUGAAGAACUUGAGGUGCACACACUUUUGGUUUCUCUCACCUCAUAAGUAACUCCCGGUUUUCAUGGGCAGCCCGUCUUUAAUGAUCUGUUUUUUGCCUCCGAUCUGCACUUUAAAAGUUUUCAAAAGCAUUCAUUAGAGGCCCAGAAAACAUUUCUUUUUUAUCGCUGGUUCUUUUCAGUGUAAUUCAUGUAUUUAUUUAACGAAUUGGUAACUUUCCUCUAACUGAAAACCUUAUUUCAUGGUCUAACUGAGCCACUUAUGGAUACAUGUAGACCUCUUCCACAAACAAAAACAUGGGAAAAUCUGUGCCUGAGCAGAGGACCCCCCCCCCUCCUCCUUAUUUGUUCACAUGGAGGUAAAGAUGGAAAAGCAAGGAGCAGGCUGGAUAAACUUUGAGUGGGAAUAUGUUAGUGCUGCUUGGGUUUUAUUUGCAGAGCUGCAGGUGGAUGGUUGACAGACACAACGCUGUAUGUCUUGGCUCUGUCACCAGUAACACUUUUUUUUUUUUAAAGUGACCUACCUGCUUGUUUCUGUACAGGUAAUUCAAUAAAUGAUACCCUGGAUCUGUAAGAGAUGAAUGAAAAAUGUAAUCCAAACAAAAAACACCCACUUUCUAAGAAAACAAACAUGAUUAAAUUACAUUAAGGUCCCUUUAAAUCAGAUUUUUGAACAACAGUCAAAACCAAAUACAUAGGCAGUGUUUACCUGGAAUUUGUAGUAGUACACUGAUAUUUAAAGAGUUUCCUUUAAUAAAAUAAGCAUAGGUACCACUUCAUUUUUAAGCCCAAUAUAAAAAUGCUUAUAUCAGUUUGGAGUGAUUAUUUUACCAUAGUUACAUGUUUUCCCUCUUUUUAUUAGUUUUAUUUAUAGUUUUUAUUUUUAAUUGAAUGUGUUGAUUAGUAAAUGGGUUCCCACCAAUGUAUCAUUCGUUUAAUGAAAAUAAUCAUCUAUAUUAUUAGAAAUUGUCAUUUAUUCCCACUAAUAAAAGCACAAAUUAAUACUCUGAUAAUUGGUAUUUGUAUUUAUUAUUAAUUUAUUGUUUUUGACUCUUGGCUAACACAAUGUUAUUAUUAAUAAUAUGUGCGUUUUAAGGCUUUUAACAGAUGUAAUAUUUGUCGAUGAACCGCCCCUCCGCUAGGGGGCAGUGCGAGUGCGAAACACCAGAGCACAAUACGCAUCUGGGUGGUAGAAGAAGCCCACCGGAUCACUCUCUGCUGCUAACAGUCGCCAACCGGCUAAUCUCCUGGACAACGCAGUUUGAAGUUAUUUUAAUCCCAGUUUUCUUUAUUGCCUCUUUUUUCACUCCUUAUAAUCAAGUGACUUUAAAAAACGUUGCCGGUGAUAAGUGCUAGGUACCCACCGACGGACAAGUUUAAUCACACUAUAUGUUUUUGACGCUGUACCUUCCACCGAGGAUGCUAGCGCAUAAGCAAGCCAGCUAGCUUGCAAAUCUGAAGGAGCGAAUAAGCAGCGCUCUGGAUGCUUUUAAGUGCAGCGAGUUUUUG
rnacentral:lncRNA from 1 species